AUUGGACAAUGGGCGAAAGCUGAUCCAGCAACGCGCGUGAGGGAUGACGGCCUUCGGGUUGUAANCCUCUUUCAGCACCGACGAAGCGAAAGUGACGGUAGGUGCAGAAGAAGGACCGGCCAACNANGNNCNANCAGCCGCGGUAAUACGUAGGGUCCGAGCGUUGUCCGGAAUUAUUGGGCGUAAAGGGCUCGUAGGCGGUUUGUCGCGUCGGGAGUGAAAACUCAGGGCUUAACCCUGAGCGUGCUUCCGAUACGGGCAGACUAGAGGUAUGCAGGGGAGAACGGAAUUCCUGGUGUAGCGGUGGAAUGCGCAGAUAUCAGGAGGAACACCGGUGGCGAAGGCGGUUCUCUGGGCAUUACCUGACGCUGAGGAGCGAAAGCAUGGGGAGCGAACAGGAUUAGAUACCCUGGUAGUCCAUGCCGUAAACGUUGGGCGCUAGGUGUGGGGACCUUCCACGGUCUCCGUGCCGCAGCUAACGCAUUAAGCGCCCCGCCUGGGGAGUACGGCCGCAAGCUAAAACUCAAAGGAAUUGACGGGGGCCCGCACAAGCGGCGGAGCAUGCUGAUUAAUUCGAUGCAACGCGAAGAACCUUACCUGGGUUUGACAUAUGCCGGAAAGCUAUAGAGAUAUAGCCCCCUUUUGGUCGGUAUACAGGUGGUGCAUGGCUGUCGUCAGCUCGUGUCGUGAGAUGUUGGGUUAAGUCCCGCAACGAGCGCAACCCUCGUCCUAUGUUGCCAGCACGUAAUGGUGGGGACUCAUAGGAGACUGCCGGGGUCAACUCGGAGGAAGGUGGGGAUGACGUCAAGUCUUCAUGCCCCUUAUAUCCAGGNCNNNAANCAUGCUACAAUGGCCGGUACAAAGGGCUGCGAAAUCGCAAGAUGGAGCGAAUCCCAAANNGCCGGUCUCAGUUCGGAUUGGGGUCUGCAACUCGACCCCAUGAAGUCGGAGUCGCUAGUAAUCGCAGAUCAG
rnacentral:rRNA from 1 species